GGGGAUGUAGCUCAUGGUAGAGCAUUCGACUGCAGAUCGAGAGGUCCCUGGUUCAAUCCCGGGCGUCCCCU
rnacentral:tRNA from 1 species